GACGUAGGGCGCGAGCGUUGUCCGGAUUUAUUGGGCGUAAAGAGCUCGUAGGCGGCUUGUCGCGUCGACCGUGAAAACUUGGGGCUCAACCCCAAGCCUGCGGUCGAUACGGGCAGGCUAGAGUUCGGUAGGGGAGACUGGAAUUCCUGGUGUAGCGGUGAAAUGCGCAGAUAUCAGGAGGAACACCGGUGGCGAAGGCGGGUCUCUGGGCCGAUACUGACGCUGAGACGCGAAAGCGUGGGGAGCGAACAGG
rnacentral:rRNA from 1 species